GACGAACGCUGGCGGCGUGCCUAACACAUGCAAGUCGAGCGAGUGAAUCUCCUUCGGGAGUGAAGCUAGCGGCGGACGGGUGAGUAACACGUGGGCAACCUGCCUCAUAGAGGGGAAUAGCCUUUCGAAAGGAAGAUUAAUACCGCAUAAGAUUGUAGCUUCGCAUGAAGUAGCAAUUAAAAGAGCAAUCCGCUAUUAGACAGGCCCGCGGGGCAUUAGCUAGUUGGUGCGGUAACGGCUCGCCAAGGCGACGAUGCGUAGCCGACCUGAGAGGGUGAUCGGCCACAUUGGGACUGAGACACGGCCCAGACUCCUACGGGAGGCAGCAGUGGGGAAUAUUGCACAAUGGGGGAAACCCUGAUGCAGCAACGCCGCGUGAGUGAUGACGGCCUUCGGGUUGUAAAGCUCUGUCUUCAGGGACGAUAAUGACGGUACCUGAGGAGGAAGCCACGGCUAACUACGUGCCAGCAGCCGCGGUAA
rnacentral:rRNA from 1 species